AAUGAAGAGCCUGCGGAGAGGGCUAUUUUGAUAGAAUAGAAAACGCAUGAGAUUCAUGCCUUCAUUA
rnacentral:tRNA from 1 species